AACGAACGCUGGCGGCAUGCCUAACACAUGUAAGUCGAACGAGACCUUCGGGUCUAGUGGCGCACGGGUGCGUAACGCGUGGGAACCUGCCCUUAGGUUCGGAAUAACUCCCCGAAAGGGGUGCUAAUACCGGAUAAUGUCUUCGGACCAAAGAUUUAUCGCCUUUGGAUGGGCCCGCGUUGGACUAGCUAGUUGGUAGGGUAAAAGCCUACCAAGGCGACGAUCCAUAGCUGGUCUGGGAGGAUGAUCAGCCACACUGGGACUGAGACACGGCCCAGACUCCUACGGGAGGCAGCAGUGGGGAAUAUUGGACAAUGGGCGAAAGCCUGAUCCAGCAAUGCCGCGUGAGUGAUGAAGGCCUUAGGGUUGUAAAGCUCUUUUACCCGGGAUGAUAAUGACAGUACCGGGAGAAUAAGCUCCGGCUAACUCCGUG
rnacentral:rRNA from 1 species